GGGUUCGAUUCCGGAGAGGGAGCCUGAGAAACGGCUACCACAUCCAAGGAAGGCAGCAGGCGCGCAAAUUACCCAAUCCCGACACGGGGAGGUAGUGACAAUAAAUAACAAUACGGGGCUCUUUCGGGUCUCGUAAUUGGAAUGAGUACAAUUUAAAUCCCUUAACGAGGAACAAUUGGAGGGCAAGUCUGGUGCCAGCAGCCGCGGUAAUUCCAGCUCCAAUAGCGUAUAUUAAAGUUGUUGCAGUUAAAAAGCUCGUAGUUGAAUUUCGGGAUUGACACAUCGGUCGUGCCUUAAGGGGUAUGAACUGGUGUAGUCAAUUUCUCACCUUCUGGAGAACCGCGAUGCCCUUAAUUGGGUGUCACGGGGAACCAGGACCUUUACUUUGAAAAAAUUAGAGUGUUUAAAGCAGGCAUUUUGCUUGAAUACAUUAGCAUGGAAUAAUAAAAUAGGACGGCAUGAUUCUAUUUUGUUGGUUUCUAGGAUCACCGUAAUGAUUAAUAGGGAUAGUUGGGGGCAUUAGUAUUCAAUUGUCAGAGGUGAAAUUCUUGGAUUUAUUGAAGACUAACUACUGCGAAAGCAUUUGCCAAGGAUGUUUUCAUUAAUCAAGAACGAAAGUUAGGGGAUCGAAGACGAUCAGAUACCGUCGUAGUCUUAACCAUAAACUAUGCCGACUAGGAAUCAGACGAUGUUAAUUUUUUAAUGACUCGUUU
rnacentral:rRNA from 1 species